rnacentral:rRNA from 1 species
CCUUGUACACACCGCCCGUCACACCAUGGGAGUUGGCUUUACCUGAAGACGGUGCGCUAACCGCAAGGGGGCAGCCGGCCACGGUAGGGUCAGUGACUGGGGUG